rnacentral:rRNA from 1 species
AGUGAACGCUGGCGAUAGGCCUAACACAUGCAAGUCGAACGGCAGCACAGUAAGAGCUUGCUCUUACGGGUGGCGAGUGGCGGGCGGGUGAGGAAUACAUCGGAAUCUACUUUUUCGUGGGGGAUAACGUAGGGAAACUUACGCUAAUACCGCAUACGACCUACGGGUGAAAGCAGGGGAUCUUCGGACCUUGCGCGAUUGAAUGAGCCGAUGUCGGAUUAGCUAGUUGGCGGGGUAAAGGCCCACCAAGGCGACGAUCCGUAGCUGGUCUGAGAGGAUGAUCACCCACACUGGAACUGAGACACGGUCCAGACUCCUACGGGAGGCAGCAGUGGGGAAUAUUGGACAAUGGGCGCAAGCCUGAUCCAGCCAUACCGCGUGGGUGAAGAAGGCCUUCGGGUUGUAAAGCCCUUUUGUUGGGAAAGAAAAGCAGCAGGUUAAUACCCCGCUGUUCUGACGGUACCCAAAGAAUAAGCACCGGCUAACUUCGUG